AACGCGAAGAACCUUACCUGGGCUCGAAAUGCUGUGGACCAGCUUAUGAAAGUAGGCCUUCCCGCAAGGGACCGCAGUAUAGGUGCUGCAUGGCUGUCGUCAGCUCGUGUCGUGAGAUGUUGGGUUAAGUCCCGCAACGAGCGCAACCCUUGUCCUGUGUUGCCAUACCGAAAGGUGGAACUCGCAGGAGACCGCCAGGGAUAACCUGGAGGAAGGUGGGGAUGACGUCAAGUCCUCAUGGCCUUUAUGUCCAGGGCUACACACGUGCUACAAUGGACGGUACAAAGGGCUGCCAACCCGCGAGGGGGAGCCAAUCCCAAAAACCGUUCUCAGUUCGGAUUGCAGGCUGCAACUCGCCUGCAUGAAGCUGGAAUCGCUAGUAAUGGCGGAUCAGAACGCCGCCGUGAAUACGUUCCCGGGCCUUGUA
rnacentral:rRNA from 1 species